rnacentral:rRNA from 1 species
CCUACGGGUGGCAGCAGUGAGGAAUAUUGGUCAAUGGACGAGAGUCUGAACCAGCCAAGUAGCGUGAAGGAUGACUGCCCUAUGGGUUGUACACUUCUUUUAUAAAGGAAUAAAACGAGGCACGUGUGCCUUUUUGCAUGUACUUUAUGAAUAAGGAUCGGCUAACUCCGUGCCAGCAGCCGCGGUAAUACGGAGGAUCCGAGCGUUAUCCGGAUUUAUUGGGUUUAAAGGGAGCGUAGAUGGGUUGUUCAGUCAGUUGUGAAAGGUUGCGGCUCAACCGUAAAAUUGCAAUUGAUACUGGCAGUCUUGAGUACAGUUGAGGUAGGCGGAAUUCGUGGUGUAGCGGUGAAAUGCUUAGAUAUCACGAAGAACCCCGAUUGCGAAGGCAGCUUACUAAACUGUGACUGACAUUGAUGCUCGAAAGUGUGGGUAUCAAACAGGAUUAGAUACCCUUGUAGUC